rnacentral:rRNA from 1 species
CGGAGGGUGCGAGCGUUACCCGGAUUUACUGGGGCGUAAAGGGCGUGUAGGCGGUUUUCUAAGUCCGGGGCUAAAGACCAGGGCUCAACCCUGGGUUUGCCUUGGAUACUGGAAAGCUCGACGGCUGGAGGGGGCAGCGGAAUUUCCGGAGUAGCGGUGAAAUGCGCAGAUACCGGAAGGAACGCCAAUAGCGAAGGCAGCUGCCUGGACAGUACGUGACGCUGAGGCGCGAAAGCGUGGGGAGCAAACCGGAUU